rnacentral:rRNA from 1 species
GCCUAGUCAAGAUGAAGCCAGAGGAAACUCUGGUGGAUGUCUGAAGUUAUUCUGACGUGCAAAUCGAUAAUCUGAUCUGGGUAUAGGGGCGAAAGACUAAUCGAACCAUCUAGUAGCUGGUUCCUUCCGAAGUUUCCCUCAGGAUAGCAAGUGUACAUUGUUAGUUUCAUCCAGUAAAGCGAAUGAUUAGAGGUAUUGGGGCAUAUAUAGCCUCAACCUAUUCUCAAACUUUUAAUGGGUGUGAGUGUUCUUUCUUAAUUGAAGAACGCUGCUAAAUAAGUAUGCUUAGUGGGCCAUUUUUGGUAAGCAGAACUGGCGCUGUGGGUUGAACCAAAUGUUGAGUUAAAGUGCCUAAAGCCCAAAUGCGCAUGAGAUCUAUAAAGGGUGUUAGUUGCUGAAGA